GACGAACGCUGGCGGCGUGCUUAACACAUGCAAGUCGUACGGUAAGGCCCUUUCGGGGGUACACGAGUGGCGAACGGGUGAGUAACACGUGAGUAACCUGCCCACAACUUUGGGAUAACGCUAGGAAACUGGUGCUAAUACUGGAUAUGUGCUCCUGCUGCAUGGUGAGGGUUGGAAAGCUCCGGCGGUUGUGGAUGGACUCGCGGCCUAUCAGCUUGUUGGUGGGGUAGUGGCCUACCAAGGCGGCGACGGGUAGCCGGCCUGAGAGGGUGACCGGCCACAUUGGGACUGAGAUACGGCCCAGACUCCUACGGGAGGCAGCAGUGGGGAAUAUUGCACAAUGGGCGCAAGCCUGAUGCAGCAACGCCGCGUGCGGGAUGACGGCCUUCGGGUUGUAAACCGCUUUCAGCAGGGACGAAGCUUUUUGUGACGGUACCUGCAGAAGAAGCACCGGCUAACUACGU
rnacentral:rRNA from 1 species